AGGCCAUGUGAAGGACACCUCUUGAGCAACAAAUUAAAACGUUCCCAAGCAUCAUACAAGGUUUCAGUUUCCCCUUGUUUAAAGUUUGUGAUCUCAUGUUUCUUUUC
rfam:Medicago truncatula strain A17 chromosome 3, whole genome shotgun sequence.